CAAAUUUGAAAUCUGGCGUGCUCAGUGCGUCCGAGUUGUAAUCUAUAGAGUCGUUUUCCGUGCCGGACUGUGUCCAAGUCCCUUGGAACAGGGUAUCAAAGAGGGUGAUAAUCCCGUACUUGACACAAUGACCGGUGCUCUGUGAUACGUCUUCUACGAGUCGAGUUGUUUGGGAAUGCAGCUCAAAAUGGGUGGUGAGUUCCAUCUAAAGCUAAAUAUUGGCGAGAGACCGAUAGCGAACAAGUACCGUGAGGGAAAGAUGAAAAGCACUUUGGAAAGAGAGUUAAACAGUACGUGAAAUUGUUAAAAGGGAAACGAUUGAAGUCAGUCGUGACUGAGAGGCUCAGCCGGUUCUGCCGGUGUAUUCCCCUCAGUCGGGUCAACAUCAGUUUUGUUCGGUGGAUAAGGGCAGUUGGAAGGUGGCACCCUCGGGUGUGUUAUAGCCAGCUGUCGCAUACAUCGGAUGAGACUGAGGAAUGCAGCUCGCCUUUAUGGCCGGGGUUCGCCCACGUUCGAGCUUAGGAUGUUGACAUAAUGGCUUUAAACGACCCGUCUUGACCAMSGGACCU
rnacentral:rRNA from 1 species